rnacentral:lncRNA from 1 species
AUCCCCUGUGAAUCAGGAGCAGAGGGGGAGACAUUAUAUACUAAGCUAUAAGGAACAAAAGCAUUUGUGGAUCUUGGGGAAACAGAACAUAAAUUAAAUUUUAAAGCAAGCAUUUGGCUAAAACUAGAAUCCAAGGGCCUGAUGUACUGUAGUCUGUGACAGGAGACAUGGCUAAUUGCAAGCGAAUUUCCACCCCACUUGAUUAUUGUUGUGACACACAGAUCAUUAACAUGAUGGUCCAAACAUGAAACAAAUUGUUUAAAUAUUAAACUGUCAAAUCCUUUCUCUGAUCUCUAAAUCACUUCCUACAGUAAGGGGAGAACUGUGCGUAGAGAAUGAUGGUUUCUAAGCUCUGCCACCGUCUUGAUACCGAGUUGCGCUCUGUCAGUAUGGUGACUGCUGGCAGGAGGCUGUGAAAUGGCAUUUUCAGGUGUCUGCUUUGUUUACAGAUGUACUUAGUAACUGGUAAACGUACUCUUCGGCAAGUUUUCAUGCAGGCAUGAUGGCUGCUGGCUGCUGCCACGUGCCGCCCUCUCCCUCAAGUCUCUGACGUGACUGGCUCUGCCCAGACAUUUGGGGCAUUUGGGGAAAGAGGUGUGAAAGGCCAUUCCCCAAACUACUGCGCCAGUCUUUGCUGCUGUGGAUCCGAGUGGGAAUCAUUCAGCAAUGAACAAAUAUUGCGGUCAGCAAGGAGCUCAUCCGAUUGCAACAGUGUGUGCAGGAGCUGGUUGUCUUGGAAAGAGCAACGCUUUUGGAGCAGCUACAGUGCAACCUGUUUCCAGGUAGAGGAGGAGGCGGCCUGCACAGAGCACCCUCAUUCUGAUGCAAGAGGAGUGUUGGAAGGUGGCUAAUGAGAGGUAAUUGCAAAAGCUCGCAGAGGGAUGCGCUUUUGGAAAGAGAGAA